AGUUGGAAGUGGGUUAUGUGGGUGUGUAUUCGUUUCAAGGUUUCUUUGCUUUUGUCUGUAAGAUUAUGCUUUAUUUUAGUUAUUAUUAUUGUGUGUUUUUUUUUUGGUCAAAGGAGCUUAUGCUUUUAUUGUUUGGGAGAAUUUAACUAGGAAAAAUAAUGUUGUUGUUUUUUUGAUGAUUAGAGAAACUUAAAGGGAGAAGUCAUAGACUAUUUUGAGUUUGCAUACUAAUUUGGUCUCAAGCUCUCCCAAAAUAUCGUGUCUAACAAAUUUUGUUAUUUUUUGCAGUAGCCUAUUUGAAACAUUUUCUGUGAUGAAUAAUUCAUCUAUCUCAAGCACCUUUGUGAUAAAAGUUGAAUGCUUUAAUUUUUUUCCUGUCUUUUUUGUUUUGUUUUAGGGAAUGAUAUAUUAGUAUGUUGCUCUGUUUGAGGCUUUGAGCCUUCUCUCUCUAUUUUUGUGCUUUGUAAAUGUGCAGGAUGAUACUUAAGAUGGCUUUUGGUUAAGCAAUAAUAAUAGGCCACAUCUCAUCAUGUGUCUCAUUCUCUAAGGAGGUGGAAGGAUUUGGUUUGUGGUUUUGGACAGAGGACCAUUUGAGGAAGAUGAUUGAUGAGUUUGAGAAGAUCAAGCGACAAUUGGUAGAGUGUUUGGGAAUUCCACGAUAUUAAAUCACAGACUCACAGUCCCUAUCCACAGGUGUUAAAGAUCAUGACUACAAAACUUGGAAUUACAAAAGGCAAAUACAUGCAUCUUUUUUAGUCGAAACCCGGUCUUAGAGUGGGGAAAUUAUUACUACAGAACUUAGGUUUACCAAGGGCAAGAAUAUAUGGAGCUUGGCCUCCAGUCCUUGAGUGAAGACUAUUUUUGGAUAUGUUAUGUGUACUUGAAUAACUAGUAUGCUCUUGUGUACU